rnacentral:rRNA from 1 species
UACGGAGGGGGCAAGCGUUGUCCGGACUUACUGGGCGUAAAGGGUGCGUAGGCGGCCUGCUGCGUCGGUGCUGAAAGCGCCCGGCUUAACCGGGCGAGGCGUGCCGAUACGAGCGGGCUGGAGCCUUGGCGAGGGUGGCGGAACUCCUGGUGUAGUGGUGAAAUGCGUAGAGAUCAGGAAGAACACCCGUGGCGCAAGCGGCCACCUGGC